rnacentral:rRNA from 1 species
AGACUUUGAUCCUGGCUCAGGAUGAACGCUAGCGGCAGGCUUAAUACAUGCAAGUCGUGGGGCAGCAGGGGUAGCAAUACCCGCUGGCGACCGGCAAACGGGUGAGGAGCAUGUACGCAACCUACCUUUAACUGGAGGAUAGCCCCUCGAAAGAGGGAUUAAUACUCCGUAACAUAAUGAAGUGGCAUCGCUUUAUUAUUAUAGCUCCGGCGGUUAAAGAUGGGCGUGCAGCUGAUUAGGCAGUUGGCGGGGUAACGGCCCACCAAACCUACGAUCAGUAACUGGUGUGAGAGCACGACCAGUCACACGGGCACUGAGACACGGGCCCGACUCCUACGGGAGGCAGCAGUAAGGAAUAUUGGUCAAUGGAGGCAACUCUGAACCAGCCAUGCCGCGUGAAGGAUUAAGGCCCUCUGGGUUGUAAACUUCUUUUAUAUGGGAAGAAAUGUUCUGAUUCUUCAGAGCUUGACGGUACCAUAGGAAUAAGCACCGGCUAACUCCGUGCCAGCAGCCGCGGUAAUACGGAGGGUGCAAGCGUUAUCCGGAUUCACUGGGUUUAAAGGGU